ensembl:lncRNA
GUAUUUAUCUUUAUAUAAUAAUUGUUUUUAUGGAAGUCUCAUAGUCUUCAUAAAUGCAUUAACACGGUAUUUAUUUUCCAUUUAAUUUGGGCAUUUCAGAUGACGUUACCCACAAUCCUUUCAUAAGCACAGACACGUGUGAUGGGUUUAAAAUCACCACAGCAACAGGAGCGUGGAAGUGAAACCCGUCUUAAAACCAUGCUUAAAACCUGUUAAUUUGCACAACUGUUAAUAGUGGACAGCACCACUAAUAAUGAAAGCAAACGUGAAAUCUUCGCCUUUACAGAAAAGUGUGCAACAGCAUUUCCCCAUAAUUCCAAAAGAUGCUGCUAUCAAGAUUGUCACAGGAGAACUGACUGCAAUCAAAGCAGGAGGAGCUUACCGAGGACAGGAAACUGCAAACAGUAAUUGAGCAGGUUAUGGUGGAUCAGCUGUCAAGGGCUGUCAUUAGUGAUCCGGAGCAGAAUGCUGUGUCUGUCAGUCCCAUGAGUGUCCCUCCACGCUACAGGAGAACUCUCAACCACACUAAAUGGAAGGCACUGCACUUUAUCGCGCGUGGUGUGUAUUUGAACAGAGGGAGGCCGUACUGCCUGCAGGACAUCUCACAGGUUCACCACACUCAUCAUCUGUCACACACACAUGGACUAAUAUUAAUUCAUUAA